GCAUAUCCAAGCAGGAGGUCCAAGUUAUUUAGAUCUAAAAAAUAAAUCAAAAAGGCCCAAAAACAAUGGACUCGAAUCCAAAAUUGGAUUUUUAGACUUGUGUUUGGAUCCCUACGUGUCGCAAUAUUACUGGUGGAUGUAUUUUGUAUUGGAUAGAUUUUUUUUUUCUCCCGUCUUUUCUUUUUUCGUGAAAACUCAACUUUUUUAUCUCGUUUUUUUUCUUCCUCGAUCCAGCGAUCUGUCCGACGAAAUCGGAAGCAAACGGAGGACGAAGAUUGAGCUCGGACUCCUUGAUCCGGCGUGACAUUCAUCUCCACCGACGCUGGUCAAUUGGCGAGUUUGAUGAAGCAAAUCGACGGUUUUAGGGUUCUUUGUUCUAAGCUAAAUUGGGGUUAAUUGAAGGAGAUUGUUGCUGCCGCCGUUUGUGGAUUCAAAUUUGCCAGGAAGAAAUUCACUCUGAACACACUAUCCGUUGAUCAUGAAGGCGCUCCCUUUGGACUUGUCUCUCUUUGCAGGAAUGUUGUAUCGUUUAGUGAUAGUUUACCCGAGAAAGGCAACGGUAUACCAUACUUUUACUUAACAACUCUUGAUCCAACCGCAAGAAACGCACUAAAAGACCAGAGAGCUUCACUCGCAAUCAACUCUUAUCGAAAAUGGACUCAGAGAAAGAGUCAUUUUAAGAGUUGAUGGAGGCUUAAAGAGUGGUGUUGAUGUUCUAAUGGCUGCAGCUAUGGGUGCUGAUGAAUACGGAUUUGGUUCCUUGGCAAUGAUUGCUACUGGUUGUCUUAUGGCUCGUAUUUGCCACACUAAUAAUUGUCCAGUGGGUGUAGCAAGUCAGGUAGACUCAUUAGAUCCUGUAAAAUUUCCUUGCCUUCUUGUUCAUAUUCUCUUAAGUUUUUAGAGUGUAUGUCAAGUCAUAUAUUUGCAACACAAUUAGCUAAUACACAUUUUUUCAAAAUUUAAAAUUUUUAGAUCCUCACUCUAUGGAUCUAUCAUUGGACUCUCUCAAAAUUAUAAAACAUUCAAAGUGUCUAAGUUUCAAAUUUUGUAUUAUUUAUCAUUAUAAAUAAGGUUUGGACUCCUAAUUUUAGAUC